rnacentral:rRNA from 1 species
UGAGGAAUAUUGGUCAAUGGAGGCAACUCUGAACCAGCCAUGCCGCGUGCAGGAAGACGGCCCUCUGGGUUGUAAACUGCUUUUAUUCGGGAAUAAACCUACUUACGUGUAAGUAGCUGAAUGUACCGUAAGAAUAAGGAUCGGCUAACUCCGUGCCAGCAGCCGCGGUAAUACGGAGGAUCCAAGCGUUAUCCGGAUUUAUUGGGUUUAAAGGGUGCGUAGGCGGCCUGUUAAGUCAGGGGUGAAAGACGGUGGCCCAACCAUCGCAGUGCCCUUGAUACUGAUGGGCUUGAAUGGACUAGAGGUAGGCGGAAUGUGACAAGUAGCGGUGAAAUGCAUAGAUAUGUCACAGAACACCGAUUGCGAAGGCAGCUUACUAUGGUUUUAUUGACGCUGAGGCACGAAAGCGUGGGGAUCGAACA